rnacentral:lncRNA from 1 species
UGCAUUUCCGUCAAAAACUCUGGUUUUAGUGAACGUCAUUUGUGUGUUUAGGGGCGUCGUCACUUCCAUUCCAAUGUUGAGCGAGUGGUUGGAAAACUAUAAUUCUAUAUUGUACGAAACUAUUCGGCAAAUUGAAUUCUCAAAAUUGACAAAUCAGCAUUGCUGUCAUUAGGGAAUUGUCAUUAAGUACCUACAGAACAACCAUUGUUUCUAGUUAAUCCUGCACAAUGACGAUCACUAAGACGCU